CCGGAAUGCUGGGUAUCGAUUCCAGUACCUCUCGCAUGCUAUGCGAGCGCUCUACCAUCUGAGCUACAUCCCC